CCUACCAUGCAUGUCUUUGGACUGGGAGAGGAAACCGGAGUACCCAGAGGAAACCCCCGCAGCACGGGGAGAACACACAAACUCCGCACACACAGGGCCCCAGUGGGACUCGAACCCCCGACCCUGGAGAAUCUGCUGUUUGUUAAUAACUGGAAUGUGUUCUGGGAGCGUCCUUGGUUGUUUCGUCCUGAUGGCCUGCACCCCAGCAGCCUCGGAGCGGAACCGUUGUCAGACAACAUCUCCAAGACGCUACACACCAAGUGACUGCCUACCGUAAGUACAUCUUCCUACAAUAACAACAUUCAUCAUAAGCAAUGUUUAAUUAAUAGUUCAACACUUGUAGUACAAACUAUAGAGACUGUGUCUGUUCCCCGAGCUAUACAAAUACAGAGAAAAUUUCGGAAUGUUUGUUUUAGUAACCUAAUUAACAUAAAAUUAGAUCAUACUGAAUGCACAUCCAGCUCCUUUAAUCUGUCGUCACACAAAAGCCUAGUCAUAAAUGUAAUUCUUUUGAAAUUCUUUAUACCAGUAUAACGUAUGUAGCCACAAAAAAUAAGUCAAUUCCUCUAAUUAUUAUUUACAGACCCCCAGGGCCAUAUACUGAAUUUCUUAGUGAGUUUGGAGACUUUAUCUCAAACCUGGUUGUGUCUGUAGAUAAAGCAUUAAUCGUCUGUGAUUUUAAUAUUCACUUUGAUAUCCCAGAAGGCCCUCUGAGAACAGCGGUUGUGUCCAUGUUUAGGGAUUAAUCAGAACGUAAUCGGACCUACUCAUAAUGGUGGUCACACUCUAGACCUCAUACUAACAUACGGAUUAAAUAUAGAAAAUAUUGUAAUUUUUCCCACAGUCGGAAUGUUGUCUCAGACCAUUAUCUUAUCUCGUUCAUAAUACGUAUUGAUCAUAAUAUUUCCACCUCGUACUUUCACAUCAGCUACUGCACCGAGCUUCCUAAGCGACCUCCCAGAGACAUCAAGAUUAGAUUUGGAUCACCGUCUGAUCCGAUAGAACUCGAUCAGAUGACUGAAUGCUUAGAGUCAACACUCCGCUACACGCUAGAUAGAGUAGCUCCACUCAAAAGAAAAUUAAUUAGAGAGAAAAAGCUAGCACCCCGGUAUAACGAUCAAACGCGUACCUUAAAACAGACCACUCGACAAUUAGAACGUAAAUGGCGUCAAACCAAAUUGCUGGAAGGGGAGUCUACUGAACUAUAGAAAAUCUCUUAGCGAUGCUAGAAAAGUCUCUCUCUCCACCUUCAUAGGAGACGACAAAAACAACUCGAGAUUUCUAUUCAACACAGUAGCAAAACUAACUAGGAAUAAAACCACUACAGAAAGAAGCACUCAAUCACAAUCAUUACAUAGCAGCGAAGAUUUCAUGGAAUUUUUCAUUGGUGAGAUUGAAAAUAUUAGAUGUGAAAUUCAGGCUAUUCAAUUAAAACCAGACAGUAUUAUAACUAACCCUAUAGACGAUAAUAUAGCGAUAUCAGAUCAAUGUUUAGAAUGUUUUACUCUUCUUAGAUAAACCGAACUAGCUUCAUUAAUCUCUUCAGUAAAUUCAUCAACUUGCAUACUCGAUCCUGUAGCUACAUGUUUCUUUAAACAGAUUUGUCCAGGAGUAAUUGAACCGCUUUUAAAUAUAAUCAAUUCUUCCCUUGGCACUGGCUAUGUACCUAAAUCACUUAAAUUAGCAGUUAUUAAACCCCUGAUUAAAAAACCUGAUCUUGACCCCUCUCAACUGUCCAGCUAUAGACCUAUAUCAAAUCUCCCCUUCAUCUCCAAGAUCUUAGAAAAGGUUUAGCACAGCAGCUACGCUCGUACUUGCAUAGGAACAACAUUCAUGAAAUGUAUCAGUCAGGAUUUAGACCUCAUCAUAGAUUUGAUACUGUAGAUCACACUAUUCUCCUUGAUAGAUUAGAAAAUGUUGUUGGUAUUAAGGGAACAGUCCUGUCCUGGCUCAGGUCUUAUCU
ensembl:lncRNA